AUUGAACGCUGGCGGCAGGCUUAACACAUGCAAGUCGAGCGAGCGGCGGACGGGUGAGUAAUGUCUGGGACACUGCCUGAUGGAGGGGGAUAACUAAUGGAAACGGUAGAUAAUACCGCAUACCAUCAGAUGUGCCCAGAUGGGAUUAGCUAGUAGGUGGGGUAAAGGCUCACCUCGGCGACGAUCCCUAGCUGGUCUGAGAGGAUGACCAGCCACACUGGAACUUAGACACAGUCCAGACUCCUACGGGAGGCAGCAGUGGGGAAUAUUGCACCAGUGACGCAAGCCUGAUGCAGCCAUGCCGCGUGUGUGAAGAAGGCCCUCGGGUUGUAAAGCACUUUCAGCGAGGAGGCGUUACUCGCAGAAGAAGCACCGGCUAACUCCGUGCCAGCAGCCGCGGUAAUUC
rnacentral:rRNA from 1 species